rnacentral:rRNA from 1 species
CAGCCGCCGCGGUAAUACGUAGGUGGCAAGCGUUGUCCGGGAUUAUUGGGCGUAAAGGGCUCGCAGGCGGUUUCUUAAGUCUGAUGUGAAAGCCCUCGGCUCAACCGGGGAGGGUCAUUGGAAACUGGGAAACUUGAGUGCAGAAGAGGAGAGUGGAAUUCCACGUGUAGCGGUGAAAUGCGUAGAGAUGUGGAGGAACACCAGUGGCGAAGGCGACUCUCUGGUCUGUAACUGACGCUGAGGAGCGAAAGCGUGGGGAGCGAACAGGAUUAGAUACCCCGGUAGUCCCUGUCUCUUAUAC